UAAAAUAGUUGCAUUUUCUAGACUUCGACAUGAAAGGGGGUUUGAGUUGUAAUUGAAACGCGAAAAUGGAACGUGACAUUAUUUGAUCAAAAUCCCGAAAUUCCUCGUAGUUGAAAUCGAAGCCAGUUUAUUGCGCAAAUACUAUUUUUUUAUGAAUGAUGCGCGCGUAGCGGCGACAUUGAGCGUUUCUAUUUAAACCCAAUUAUUUUAUUUCGAUUUAAAACAAAAAUUUCCAAUCGCGAAUUUUUAUUAGAAAUUUCGAUGGAAAAUUCAAAUCCAAGUGAUUUCUAUAAAAUGUCGACGUGAAAAAGUUGAGAAAAAUAUUCUUGGUUGGAAUAAUAAUAUGCGCGCGCAAGUCGAAAAGGCAAAACAUCCGAAUUCAACGGAAUUAGCAAAUUCUUGCAUAUUUUUUGAAAAAAACGUUCGCCGCGUUCGCUCUCAUCUUAUCGGGUGUGCCGGGUGUGCUGCGUGACGGGCGCCAAAGUGAUUACUGUGAUUAUUGCUAACCUGCUGAUUCAGCUUUGUUAACCUUUCAGUCAAUUCCGAGUAGUAUGAGCUCCAUGUCCAGCAUCAUCAAGGCAUUUCUGGUGGAUUUCUUUCUGACACAGAUGAAUGACAUAGAUGUGCCAUUCUGCUACACGUAGCAGAACCAAUAGAAUACAUAGAUGUGUGUGUUGAAUCUGGCAUUCUGCUGACCCGCCAUCAUCUCCCGCUUUCCAUCUUUUUAGUAAACAAUGCUAUUAUAAAUAUUUCAUCGCUUUUUUCCUCUUUUUUCGAAAUGGUGAAUUCAGCGGUAUUACGCAAGCGCGCUUUAUAGACGGAGUUGGGUGACACUCGACUGAAUUAUUCUUUUUCAACAGGCCCGCGAAUCGGAUCGAGUGUCAACGAGCUGAUUCGAUAGUAAAUCAAUUUUUCCCAUUCAAAAAUAAUUAAACAAUUUUUUGAUUUUGAUUUUCGGGUUUCUCAAUUUUAAAUUCACUGGCACUAUCGAUAAUUUCCAAUAGUUUGACGUUCUAGUUGAAUAGGUAUUUUCAUACAAUCCAGGACAAUAUUUUAAAAGAAAUUGUACAUUUGAUUUUUAAAUGAAAUAAAGCGAAGGGAAAAAGUGAAACGUCAGAAAAAUAAAAAUAAAAAUCAUGUGGAUGGUGGUGGGGUCCAUGGGAGCUAUAUCGCCUUGGUUACACGCAUUUUUCUUUGCACGACGCUAGUCGUCGCAGUGUUGAUGAGCCUGUUGCCUCCUCAAAAUAGGAACGUCUGUCGUAUAAAUAGCACAGCCCUAAAUGCGACGUAAAUAUAUGCAUAUAUUUAUUUAUAUAUCAGCAGCAAGAAAGGGCAAGCGAAAGCCCAGUUCAAACAAAGAACAUUAAUUGAUUAGGCUGUUGGUGAGCGCAGCGAUUGGAAUUUGUCAAAUCUCCUUUUUCGAAUCAGUUGGAGGAAUCGACUCCAUUCUGAUUGCGCUAUUAUUUUAGGCAUUCCGAAAUUAUUUUCGUCUUAUUUCACGGGAUAAUAACUCGGAUUAGAAAUCAUUUAAGUUUAAUUUCAAAUUUCGUGGAUGACGGUUUCGUAAUAAAAUAUUUAUAAUCAAUAAAUGCAAAUUCUUAACUCGCAAUAGACUCGCAUAAACAGAACAAAUUAUUUAUAACAAAUUUAAAUGGUUUAAAAUUACAGGGGAAUGAACAUGUCAAAUAUUUUUAUUUGUUACUUUAUUAAGUAAUUUACAGCGAAACAUAAAGUUUUAUCCGAUUUACUCAACAAAUAGACGUAAAAAUGUUUAAACUUUAAUCGACUUCAAGUUAAACACGGAAAAUAGGGCAGUUAUGUUUAAGUCGGAUUCAAACCGGCGCCUGAUUGCAUCCUCCCGUUUCUUUGAAAUAAUAACGCCGAUAGAGCAAGGGACCGGAAGUGGUAGGCCCUUUUUCCCUCAACACCAAAUGUUCUUCGAUGCUCAGCUGUAAAAGUUCAUGUGCCACACAAGAUAAAGUGGGUUCCGACGAAUAGGAAAAGGUGAACAGACGAUUAGAAACGUGUUCACGGAACCGGAUGGCACGCAAUAACCGGGAAUUAGGAAUAAAGAAGAACUUUAAUCUUUCUUGAUAGUUACUUUCCUCGGAAUUCUAGGCUACCAUAUUACCGCUUACAUAUCAAUGAUUCACUCUUGAUUUACCCCAAAUUAUCAUACAGGGAUUAUGGUACUGAUUUGAAUUACCCUAUCUUUAAAUCUUAGCUAAAAUUUUGAAUAAAAAAUCCCACCCCUGGGGUUAUUUUGAAUCUCAAGCCAAUUUUUGAAUCUUAAGUAGAAAUAUAAAAUGUUGAAUUUUAAGCCAAAAUUUUUAAUAAUAUUUCUAUUUUAUAUUUUUACAUUGCUUAUUCCCUCAGUAGAUGGCGAAUAAUUUCGUGAGUUACCUUGAAGUAUUUUUAUGUCACGCACGCACGUUAUUAUGCGCCAUCAAAAAAUGUUAUUUUUAUCCAGAAAAACAAUAUUUCUGCCAUCUAGCGGGAACAAAUGGACAUAACGAAAUUGACAGUUACCUGUGUUAGCAAAGUACCCGAAGCGCUAAAAUUUCUUGAAACAAACUAACAAUCAAAAUAGGAUGUGACGUUUAAUAACUUGCCAAUAACAAUAUCUGACUCGCUAACAACAAUAAUCCAACGAGCCUCUGUAGGCCUACUAGGCUACUAAUGUCAUUCGUAACCCGCAAGCCGCAACAGUCAUUUCAUUUUCGUGUUUACCGUUAUCUAACAAUUCCUCAAAUUUUUUAAAUUUUCGAUUAUUUUCUGUAGUUGAGCCAUCAGUGCGAAAUCAAUCAAAACUAUUUUUACUCACUGAGCUUCAUAAAAGGGCAACACUGCACUAGCUAGUUCUCACGAUCCGUCACGGUCACGGAAGUUCGUCUGCACUCCGCAAUGUAAAAGUUGUUAAGGCGGCAACAGGCAAGUGAGACAUGCCACAGGACAUAAGAUGGUUAGUUGGUUAUCAGCGGAUCGGUAAACUAAACUGUUGAGUGUUGCUAAGUUUCAAUCAUUGAGAUGUUUGAUUGUAGUGAGUAUUUUGCAAAUGAGUCCGUUCACGUAAAUGUUUGCAGUUGAUUCCCGAUUGUGCGUUACCCACGGGCUUCCAUGUUACCCUCUAACGUGGUGACCGGUGGUGACCAACAGCCCAUGUGCCCAGAUCACAUUGGUGCCACAAGUGAGACUCUGGAAUCUUCGGAUCACCAACGGCAUCGGCGCGAAUGCUGAUUCAUUGCAAAUCGCAUCUUUGACGAAAAACUAACAUUCGGGAAGAAAUUGUCUUCGUGAGAAAUCAGAAAAGAUGUCGAAAGCUCCUUCGUCAUAUUCAAGUAAGGCAUGGAUGUGCGGCACUAUAGACGCAUGUCUACCAGUACACGAGCAAUGCACUUGCGCUCUAAUAUGGUAGACAAGCUUGAAGUUAAAAUAGAAUGCAAGUUACAACUACACCGACGUCGUAUAACCGGAUCUUUGCCAUCUCAAUCGGAAUGAUCAGAUUAUGCCCUCAUUUGUCAUGAGGAUGGAGCAGCCAGGAGUUUCGGGGCACCACCGGUCAUCACGGUCCUUUGUUGGGCCUUCGGAUAGAUAAGGUAUUAAACAAAUGGAGUUCACUUGCAGGUUAGAAUCCAUCCCCCCCCCCCCCUCUUUAGCUUUAAUUCUUGCUGUUACUUCAUUUGCAUCCCCAUUUUUUGCCCCUUUUCGCAGUGAAUUAUCUUUGUGUUUUUCACCUGUUUCCUCUCUGGGAAGGCUGUAACUCUUUUUGAAUGAGAAGAUACGGGUGCCGCAAAUCACAAGAUAUGUUUUACUUGUUAUUUCGUCACCUGCUGUAGUAAAGUGCCAUUUCCCAGUCUAUUGGGGUGCGGUCAUGAAUGUAAGGUUUCAGCUUUGCCGACAUCUCUUUGUUACUUAAGGUCAAACAUUGAUUGCGUCAAUCAAGGAGUUAUAGUCUAGCGAGAGUUACUGCGAAUUGAACAAAUGCGCCGAGUGAAAAUAGCACCGUUAGCUUAAUCGGUUGGUAUCCCAAUAUUGAAUCUUUUUUCGAGAAAACUGCAGGGGAAAUUUGUCGUUUCUGAAAGCCUGUUAGAAGAUUAAAAAGAAUAAAACUUAAUUCCGGUGCAAUUAAAACUCAGAAGACUAUUUUUAAUUGGGAAAACAAGCAAUUUAAGAAAGAAAGGAUAACAUUUUACCUUAUUUUUUCAUUUAACUUGCCAUGGACUGGAGAAACCAGCUGACUUUGGAACUCUUUGUUUCGCUUUCAAAAAGCUCUUUAUUCAAAUAUUCAACACAUAUAACACGCAAAUUGAAAAGCAUAUUUUCAAAUCCCAGGCCCAAGCAGUGCUUUUGCUUAUGAAGUUUGCAUAUGCACUGAGCGCACAAAUAAUAAAACAGAGUAUUUAAUUUAGCCUGACGUACUUAACAUGUGGGUUACAAAAUUCCUUGCUCUUUCAGUCUCUCUGUCUCUCUUUCGACUUGUUUUCAUUAAGAAUAAUCAUGUUUUAAUUUUACUAUGUAUAACAUUGGUACCUGUGCAACCUGCGGUAAAUAGCAUAUAACGAAACGCAUACACACGGUAUACUGAUGAUUAUA